rnacentral:lncRNA from 13 species
CCAUUCUACAUAAAAGUUUAUUUUAAAUAAAUAUUACUUAUUUCAAAUAUGAAUGUGUGUAUAAUAUUAAGACUGUUGUCAAGAAAAUAUUCUUUGUAAAAAUAAGAGAAAACUAAAAUUAAGUAUUUACUUUUCUUAGCACUGGAACGCUUUAGCGUGUGCAGUUUUAUAUUCGAAUACCGUAUUCUAAUCCGCCGUUUCGCAUUUCGACGAAGGAGGGAUUUUUUCUGUGGGUUGUGCGUUGCAACCCUUCGCGGUUGAAUAAACUUCGCGUCUUGUCCUUAUGUAAUAACGGAGUGAUCGCAACAGUGAAAGUCAUGCAUUAAACGUAACAUGUUGUCGGAUAUGACAGGUGCGGACCCGGUAAUUUCUAAAUAUGAAGAAAAAAAGUGUCACGUGUGACGCAUUCACGCCCCUGUUACACCGAGGUACAGUCCCCGUGAGGAAGGAUAAUUUUCUAAAGACCUACUUUCCGAAAGACCUGCUUCUACAUACGCAGUGCUGAUAAAAGCGUCAACGGGGAAUGCACAGCCAAUGUGCGUAUCACGUUUGUCAAAGACUAAUCGGGAACGCAAAUAGAUGCACGAAAUCGUACAUUGACGAUUAAUUAUGGAUGACCCGAUUAACGAGGCAGUCCUUUCGUGUCACGUAACCCAGUGGCUAGAAACGGAACGGUCGUGAAAUCAACUAUCCAAACCAAAUGCUUAAGCAGCGAUUUCCAACAGUUAUCCUGACCAGUUACCGUGUCGGAGGUAAACGCAUUAUUCGCACGAAAGUACACCAGUUGUAGCUCGGAUUUUGCUAUUAGGGAAAAGGAGACUCAACCUGUGUUUGCGCAAUUAUCGAUCGGCUCAACCCUAUUAUACAUUUGUAACGGUGAACUAUCUCUAUCUCUUUCUUCAAUGAUCGGGCAAUUCAUGCUUCGACUCAGCUCAAUCGUUUCGAGACGCAUAAAAAACGUUUCGAAAAAUAAGACGAGCGUCUCUCUUAAUUGACUACCUAGCUCCCAUUUUUAUAUUUUAAGAUCUUUACCAAGCUUUGUCAAUUUACAUAGAUUUUUGACAAUGUAAGCGUGUGUAAGUGAAUUUUUUCUUUUUCUUUUUUGUCUAUUCCCUUCAGUUACUCAUUUUAUAAUUAUUUUGCACCGUAUAAAUAAAUUUUCUGGAAAGAACUCUUAUAUAUGAACGAUCGUGUUUCCUAAAGAAGUGAUUCAAUAUUGUUUACCGGCUCAUUUGAAAAGAACUUGAACCUUGGAACGAAACAUUGUGAACAAGUUUAAUCAAUGAACAAUUCACCAGUUUGUCAACUAAAUUUGGAAUUAUUUAUUAUUAAAAAAUAAAUUUACGGGAAAGUCGUCGGGAAACAAAGCUGCGCAACACAGCAGUAAUUUUAUAUCAAGAAGAAGAAGAAGAAGAAGGAGAAGAAGAAGAGUUUGAAUCAUGCUGGAUGGAAGCUCAAGUUACGUGCAAUCAUUAGCAGCAAACUUUGAAAGAUAAACUCUGGACGUUGAACACGAUCCUCAAUUGAACAAAGAAGUGUCGAACGCUAAGCGCGCUGUAGACAAUGAGAAGAGGCGAGAGUACAAGGUGAUCUCCAAUACGUACAGAACGGCCCGACAAGUGGAUUACGCGGAAAGCGUUCCGCGAAAUUGAGACUUCGCGCGACGUCGGCGUACACGGAACGGCAAUUGGCCGGUUUACGUGAAAAUGGCCUUGGCGAGAGUGCCGGCGCGGCGACGACGGCUCCGUACCGCGUUGUCAUUCCCGGAAAAUCCAGUCACCGCGGUGUGACACGCGUAGGCACCUAAUUACCCCCGUCUUUCGUGCACGGCGCGUUUAAAAGCUGCCUCGUCCCGAACCGAUCGGGACCGCGGCGCGGAAAUUCGGCUCGCGUGCGAGAGAAGUCGUCGACGCUUUCCGCGAACUCGACUGACGUCCCGUAAAUUUCCCAUCGGGUCGCGAGGAUCGCCAUUACUAUGAUAAAACGUCAGUCAAAAGCCACGUUUCCGGGUUCUGGAGACGGUGAAUCAUCAUGAAUCGCGAUCGAAUUGAAUUUAGAGCGAAUGACACGCACAAAGGAAAAAAUUCUUUAACCUGGAGUGUUAAUUCAAUAGUGGAAAAAAAGUGUAAAGCAUUCUGAAAAGUAAAAAAAAAUCGUAAUUUUAUGAAUGAAUGCUCACCGAAGUGCCAAUUCAAGAGUUAAAUUCGGCACAAGGAGGGAAAACGGCGGUCUCUCGCGAAUGUCCAAGGAAAGAUUUUAGCCCGUGCAACCGCAACAUCAAAAAUAGAAGUGAUUACUGGCGCAGAAUCAAAAAUAGCAUGCGCAAAGAGACGCGCUCACAAUCUGUUUUGUUUCAUAAAUGUUAUCCGUAUGGAAGGCCAGCAAGAUUUGCGCUCGGACGCUGAGGUAAAAGCGAAACAGACCUAUAACAUGGACGGAGAAAUAACGGAUCUUCGAGAAGGAGCGAGAGAAAACCGGUUGUGGCGCCCGACCGAAUUUUUAUGCCGUCCAAGAUCCAGCUACAGCGCGUACGUAGUACUUCUUCUGGCACGUCACGCGAAUAAUCCACGCGGUUGCGCGCAUACCGGAGCCAAGGACUCCGCUGUGCCGUGGCAGGCACAGUCGUGCACCGCGUGUAAAGCCGCUCAUUCAUGAACAUCUCUCCCAACGAAUAGGAGUCUCGCUUAGGGAAUCUAGUGAUCGGUGACGUAGAGAAAGGUUCGAAUUCCAGAAUUAUCGCAGACGAGCUAGCAACGUGCCGGCGCAUCUUUUCGUUACCUGACGCACGUGACGAAUGCACGACCUGAUGCGCAGUUGGAAAAUUUCCUCUUAAACAUAUGUAUCGCAUGUCCCAAGCGGUCACACUUUUGUAAUAAUUUAACACAAGAUGAAUAUGUUAGAAAGUAACACAAAUAUCAUGUACAAAAUUUAUGCAAAAAUUGUAAUGUUUUGAUGCAAUUUGGAAAAAAAUUGUGGAGACGUAUUUCUUCAGUCAAAUUAACAUUUGUAAUAUGUCGAUGCGUACAUUUUACUCGUUUAUAUUUAAAAUUUACGCUUUAAAAUUACAUCUUUUUGUUAUUUGUUCAUUUACACAUGGAUUGUAUAUAUUGACACUAAUUGUAAGAAAUAUUAAUUUAACACAAAAUAUUUAAAUAACAUAAUCACAUUAUAUUAAAUUAACAUUCACGGGUAUGUUAAAAAUUCAACACAAAAAUUUUAAUAAGGGCUGUUUUUGUAUAAAUAAAAUACAAAAUGUAUUUUCUAGUGCGUAACUGUAUUUUCUGCACUUCAUGCAAAGAACAUUGGGAGCGUCGUUAAUUCAAAACAAAAUAAAAAAAUCAUUAUAACACUAAAAAAAA